GCCGGCGUAGCUCAGUUGGUAGAGCAACUGAUUUGUAAUCAGUAGGUCGCGGGUUCGAGUCCCAUCGCCGGCUCAA
rnacentral:tRNA from 1 species